AGUGACUCUGUUUAACGGCCGCGGUAUCCUAACCGUGCGAAGGUAGCGUAAUCACUUGUUCUUUAAAUGAGGACUAGUAUGAAUGGCAUCACGAAGGUUAUACUGUCUCCUUUUCCUAAUCAGUGAAACUAAUCUUCCCGUGAAGAAGCGGGAAUAAACCUAUAAGACGAGAAGACCCUAUGGAGCUUCAAACUUUUCAGCAAUUAUCUUCACUUUUACAAACUUCCCUGAACAAUAAAAUUAAUCCAGAUAACAUGUCUGCAAGUUUUCGGUUGGGGUGACCACGGAGCAAAACUUACCCUCCGCAAUGAAUUAGAAUUCCAUUUCUAAACAAAGAAUUACAAUUCUAUGUAUCAAAAAAUUGACACAAUUGACCCAAUACUUUGAUCAACGAACCAAGUUACCCUAGGGAUAACAGCGCAAUCCAUCUCAAGAGCUCUUAUCGACAGAUGGGUUUACGACCUCGAUGUUGGAUCAGGGUAUCCCAGUGGUGCAGCCGCUACUAAAGGUUCGUUUGUUCAACGAUUAAAACCCU
rnacentral:rRNA from 1 species